GGAGAGAUGUCCGAGUGGUUUAAGGAGCACGCUUGGAAAGCGUGUGUGGGGGUAACUCCACCGUGGGUUCGAAUCCCACUCUCUCCGUCA
rnacentral:tRNA from 1 species